rnacentral:rRNA from 1 species
UACAGAGGGUGCGAGCGUUAAUCGGAAUUACUGGGCGUAAAGCGCGCGUAGGCGGCUUUGCAAGUCGGGUGUGAAAUCCCCAGGCUUAACCUGGGAACUGCAUUCGAGACUGCAUUGCUAGAGUAUGGGAGAGGGAAGUGGAAUUUCCGGUGUAGCGGUGAAAUGCGUAGAUAUCGGAAGGAACAUCAGUGGCGAAAGCGGCAUCCUGGACCGGCAUUGACGCUGAGGCGCGAAAGCCAGGGGAGCAAACGGGG